rnacentral:rRNA from 1 species
UGGGGAAUUUUGGACAAUGGGCGAAAGCCUGAUCCAGCAAUGCCGCGUGUGUGAAGAAGGCCUUCGGGUUGUAAAGCACUUUUGUCCGGAAAGAAAUCCUUGGCUCUAAUACAGUCGGGGGAUGACGGUACCGGAAGAAUAAGCACCGGCUAACUACGUGCCAGCAGCCGCGGUAAUACGUAGGGUGCAAGCGUUAAUCGGAAUUACUGGGCGUAAAGCGUGCGCAGGCGGUUUUGUAAGACGGAUGUGAAAUCCCCGGGCUUAACCUGGGAACUGCAUUCGUGACUGCAAGGCUAGAGUAUGGCAGAGGGGGGUAGAAUUCCACGUGUAGCAGUGAAAUGCGUAGAGAUGUGGAGGAAUACCGAUGGCGAAGGCAGCCCCCUGGGCCAAUACUGACGCUCAUGCACGAAAGCGUGGGGAGCAAACAGGAUUAGAUACCCUGGUAGUCCACGCCCUAAAACGAUGUCAACUAGUUGUUGGGGAUUCAUUUCCUUAGUAACGUAGCUAACGCGUGAAGUUGACCGCCUGGGGAGUACGGUCGCAAGAUUAAAACUCAAAUGAAUUGACGGGGU